rnacentral:lncRNA from 1 species
UCACCGUCACUCUUCAAUGGUAAAUCUCGUGCAUAUGACAUCUGAGACAUAUAUGUAAUAUUCGUUGAACUAAAAUUGUAACCCAUAUAUUGUGAACUUGUUCAGGUUUCCUUCAUACUAAUGAGCAUCGAUGAUGCAUCCAUGUUUUCCUUCAAGAAAAAAGGGCUCAUGUAAGAAUGCAUAUCUGUAUUAGUAGCUUCUUAUUUGUCGUCGAAAUCAACACAUCUAAAAAUGGUAAAUUAAUAAUGACGGAUGGUUAUAGGAAAAAAGGAAUUCUUGUGUUGAUUGACUCCACAUAUAUGUUGAAUCUUAUGUUUCCACAUCCAAACACAUAAUUAAUCGGAAGAUUUAUUGUACAUUGAUGUAUGGAAUUGCUAGUAUAUAUUUUGGUGGAAAUUUUAUCAGAUAGAAUACCUUUGUUUACCUCAUGGGUAUCGUGAGAAAGUCGAUGUACCAUGCCUUGAUGGACAAAAAUUAUGGUGCAUAACACAAAAAUUUGCGGUACUAGAUGAACAUUAGACAUCUUGAGAUGGGGGAGAACACAUAUAGAUCAAUAUUCCCAUGGGAGUUCUAUUAUAUAGAGGUUCUACGCUUAAUUUUCACAUAGAUAAAACCCGUAAUAGAGCAAUAAAUGAUACACACACCCCAUAAUCAAGAAAUAAAUGACCAAAUUUCCGCUCAUUGAAUAUGAUACGAUAGUGCUACUUGCAACUUGACUUUGUUUACUCAUUUAAGUAUAUUUGUUUCCAUUGUCAAAAUUAUGCAACUAGGUAAUGAGCCAAAGGACGUCUGAUACAUCACAAACAACUCAAUAUGUAUGAGUCGUGUCAUAUUGCUAUUAAUUACAAACAUUUUGUGCAAAAAAAUUAUUAAUUUUUCU